AAAGAAAAGAAAGGAAAAGAAACCGUUGGCAAAAAGAAGAAAAGACCUGUUUCAAAGAGUGGUUCAGCCGUUCAUGCACUAAGAAUGUAUCACAAGAGAAGCGGCCUAAAGUUGUGAAUGAGGUGAGAAGGAAAGUGGAGACUCUAAAGGAUACAAGAGACCAUUCGUUUUUGUUUUCCGAUGAUGCGGAGCUUCCUGUUCCGAAGAAGGAAUCUCUGUCUCCAAGUGGCUCUUUUCCUAAUUCUGAGGCUCAGUCUGCUCAAUUGUCAACGGGUAGUAGAACAGAGAAAUGUUUCCCGUGACAUCGCCACACCCCGAAUAAUACCAAAAAGAAUCAGUGCCUACCUCAAAAUACCAGGUAUCAUGAUCAUGAUCAUGAUCUUUCACAUCUCUCUCUUAUGUAUUUUCUCUAGCAGGGCACUAAUUUUUCAAGAGAAACUAAUUUUCUUCAUGGCAGUUUAUAAUUGGUUUUGAGUUCUAAAAAUAAAAUAAAAACUAAAUUAAAUUAUUUCUAAUAUAAAUAUUAGUUUUGAGAAAUUUUGUGAGUUUUGCACCGCUGCAUAUGCUUUUAUAAAGAAUACUUUGAAAAAAUAUUUUUAGUCAAGUGGUUACAUAAUGAUGAUAAAAGAAAAAGAAAAGAAAUUCAACUUUCAGUUGAUUAUAAGCCUAAAAUUUAUAGUUUAUAAUAGAUACAGAAUCAAAACUACAUAUACUUUAACAUUAAAAUUUACUAAUAUUCAACCAAAAAAUUAUAUUAUAAACUACUUAAAAAUAUAUUACUUUAUUAAAAAUAAUAGGGAAGUAGUUAUUAUGUGAUCACAUAUAAUAAUUCCAUGCGUAUGCAUGGGUCAUAUACUAGUACUAAAUAAAUUAAAAAAAUAUUAAAUAAAGAUUAAAAAAAAUUAGAGAUUGAGACAGAGAAAGACAAGAAAAACACGAGGAAGUUAGACAACACACCCGCCAAAGGAGAGAAACGCAACAGUGUUCUUUUUUUAUAACAGAUCUGCGUUAAGUAACAUCAUCGUACCGUACGAUCUCAUCUUUGAAGGUAAAGUUACUAUAUUACCCUUUAGAUUGUAUGGCUAAUUACGGUUCUAUGCCAUCGCCAUUGAACGAAACGUCGUCUUCGGGUUUUGUUUUCUCUCCGCGUCGGAAAAAGUAAAGUACUUGACCGAUUCUGGGAGAAACGAACUAUUUCCCACCAAGAACUAUCAUAUCUCGCUGGAUGGAGCCCGAACUUGAGCCACAAUC